rnacentral:tRNA from 1 species
CUAGGUAUAGCCCAGUGGUAGGGUGAAUGCUUAGCAUGCAAGAGGUCCUGGGUUCAAGCCCCAGUACCUACA